AUUGAACGCUGGCGGCAGGCCUAACACAUGCAAGUCGAACGGGUGGCGUAAGGGUGAGUAAUGUCUGGGAAACUGCCUGGUGGAUGGGGAUAACUACUGGAAACAGUAGCUGAUACCGCAUACCAUCGGAUGUGCCCACAUAGGAUUAGCGAGGAGGUGGGGUAAAGGCGCACCUAGGCGACGAUCCCUAGCUGGUCUGAGAGGAUGAACAGCCACACUGGAACUGAGACACGGUCCAGACUCCUACGGGAGGCAGCAGUGGGGAAUAUUGGACAAUGGGCGCAAGCCUGAUGCAGCCAUGCCGCGUGUAUGAAGAAGUCCUUCGGGUUGUAAAGUACUUUCAGCGGGGAGGCGUUACCCGCAGAAGAAGCACCGGCUAACUCCGUGCCAGCAGCCGCGGUAAUAC
rnacentral:rRNA from 1 species